CACACUAUCAUUAACUGAAUCCAUAGGUUAAUGAGGCGAACCGGGGGAACUGAAACAUCUAAGUACCCCGAGGAAAAGAAAUCAACCGAGAUUCCCCCAGUAGCGGCGAGCGAACGGGGAGCAGCCCAGAGCCUGAAUCAGUGUGUGUGUUAGUGGAAGCGUCUGGAAAGGCGCGCGAUACAGGGUGACAGCCCCGUACACAAAAAUGCACAUAUUGUGAGCUCGAUGAGUAGGGCGGGACACGUGGUAUCCUGUCUGAAUAUGGGGGGACCAUCCUCCAAGGCUAAAUACUCCUGACUGACCGAUAGUGAACCAGUACCGUGAGGGAAAGGCGAAAAGAACCCCGGCGAGGGGAGUGAAAAAGAACCUGAAACCGUGUACGUACAAGCAGUGGGAGCACGCUUAGGCGUGUGACUGCGUACCUUUUGUAUAAUGGGUCAGCGACUUAUAUUCUGUAGCAAGGUUAACCGAAUAGGGGAGCCGAAGGGAAACCGAGUCUUAACUGGGCGUUAAGUUGCAGGGUAUAGACCCGAAACCCGGUGAUCUAGCCAUGGGCAGGUUGAAGGUUGGGUAACACUAACUGGAGGACCGAACCGACUAAUGUUGAAAAAUUAGCGGAUGACUUGUGGCUGGGGGUGAAAGGCCAAUCAAACCGGGAGAUAGCUGGUUCUCCCCGAAAGCUAUUUAGGUAGCGCCUCGUGAAUUCAUCUCCGGGGGUAGAGCACUGUUUCGGCAAGGGGGUCAUCCCGACUUACCAACCCGAUGCAAACUGCGAAUACCGGAGAAUGUUAUCACGGGAGACACACGGCGGGUGCUAACGUCCGUCGUGAAGAGGGAAACAACCCAGACCGCCAGCUAAGGUCCCAAAGUCAUGGUUAAGUGGGAAACGAUGUGGGAAGGCCCAGACAGCCAGGAUGUUGGCUUAGAAGCAGCCAUCAUUUAAAGAAAGCGUAAUAGCUCACUGGUCGAGUCGGCCUGCGCGGAAGAUGUAACGGGGCUAAACCAUGCACCGAAGCUGCGGCAGCGACGCUUAUGCGUUGUUGGGUAGGGGAGCGUUCUGUAAGCCUGCGAAGGUGUGCUGUGAGGCAUGCUGGAGGUAUCAGAAGUGCGAAUGCUGACAUAAGUAACGAUAAAGCGGGUGAAAAGCCCGCUCGCCGGAAGACCAAGGGUUCCUGUCCAACGUUAAUCGGGGCAGGGUGAGUCGACCCCUAAGGCGAGGCCGAAAGGCGUAGUCGAUGGGAAACAGGUUAAUAUUCCUGUACUUGGUGUUACUGCGAAGGGGGGACGGAGAAGGCUAUGUUGGCCGGGCGACGGUUGUCCCGGUUUAAGCGUGUAGGCUGGUUUUCCAGGCAAAUCCGGAAAAUCAAGGCUGAGGCGUGAUGACGAGGCACUACGGUGCUGAAGCAACAAAUGCCCUGCUUCCAGGAAAAGCCUCUAAGCAUCAGGUAACAUCAAAUCGUACCCCAAACCGACACAGGUGGUCAGGUAGAGAAUACCAAGGCGCUUGAGAGAACUCGGGUGAAGGAACUAGGCAAAAUGGUGCCGUAACUUCGGGAGAAGGCACGCUGAUAUGUAGGUGAAGUCCCUUGCGGAUGGAGCUGAAAUCAGUCGAAGAUACCAGCUGGCUGCAACUGUUUAUUAAAAACACAGCACUGUGCAAACACGAAAGUGGACGUAUACGGUGUGACGCCUGCCCGGUGCCGGAAGGUUAAUUGAUGGGGUCAGCGCAAGCGAAGCUCUUGAUCGAAGCCCCGGUAAACGGCGGCCGUAACUAUAACGGUCCUAAGGUAGCGAAAUUCCUUGUCGGGUAAGUUCCGACCUGCACGAAUGGCGUAAUGAUGGCCAGGCUGUCUCCACCCGAGACUCAGUGAAAUUGAACUCGCUGUGAAGAUGCAGUGUACCCGCGGCAAGACGGAAAGACCCCGUGAACCUUUACUAUAGCUUGACACUGAACAUUGAGCCUUGAUGUGUAGGAUAGGUGGGAGGCUUUGAAGUGUGGACGCCAGUCUGCAUGGAGCCGGCCUUGAAAUACCACCCUUUAAUGUUUGAUGUUCUAACGUGGACCCGUGAUCCGGGUUGCGGACAGUGUCUGGUGGGUAGUUUGACUGGGGCGGUCUCCUCCUAAAGAGUAACGGAGGAGCACGAAGGUUGGCUAAUCCUGGUCGGACAUCAGGAGGUUAGUGCAAUGGCAUAAGCCAGCUUGACUGCGAGCGUGACGGCGCGAGCAGGUGCGAAAGCAGGUCAUAGUGAUCCGGUGGUUCUGAAUGGAAGGGCCAUCGCUCAACGGAUAAAAGGUACUCCGGGGAUAACAGGCUGAUACCGCCCAAGAGUUCAUAUCGACGGCGGUGUUUGGCACCUCGAUGUCGGCUCAUCACAUCCUGGGGCUGAAGUAGGUCCCAAGGGUAUGGCUGUUCGCCAUUUAAAGUGGUACGCGAGCUGGGUUUAGAACGUCGUGAGACAGUUCGGUCCCUAUCUGCCGUGGGCGCUGGAGAACUGAGGGGGGCUGCUCCUAGUACGAGAGGACCGGAGUGGACGCAUCACUGGUGUUCGGGUUGUCAUGCCAAUGGCACUGCCCGGUAGCUAAAUGCGGAAGAGAUAAGUGCUGAAAGCAUCUAAGCACGAAACUUGCCCCGAGAUGAGUUCUCCCUGACCCUUUAAGGGUCCUGAAGGAACGUUGAAGACGACGACGUUGAUAGGCCGGGUGUGUAAGCGCAGCGAUGCGUUGAGCUAACCGGUACUAAUGAACCGUGAGGCUUAACCUUACAACGCCGAAG
rnacentral:rRNA from 1 species